rnacentral:rRNA from 1 species
GUCUAUGGCCAUGCUACCGUGAACAAGUCAGAUCCUGUCUGAUCUCAGAAGCUAAGCAGGGUUGGGUCUGGUUUGUACUUGGGUGGGAGACCACCUAGGAAGACCAGGUGCUGUAGGCG